CGCCUAGCUCGACGGGGCGAAAGCCGGGGACCCUGCCCGGUUGGCG
rnacentral:ncRNA from 1 species